UUUUUGCGUUAGGGAUUGAAGUGGCAUCCUUUUUUGAGGCACGAAAAAAAGAUACAACGUAAAGCCCGACCUUUA
rnacentral:sRNA from 1 species